rnacentral:rRNA from 1 species
CCUUUACUGCAUAGCUUCGCAGCUUGGCGCUCAGCGACGGGAUGUGUAGGAUAGGUGGGAGGCUAUGAAACCGGGGCGCCUAGCUCUUGGUGGAGCCAAUCCUUGAAAUACCACCCUGUGCUGUUCUGGACGUCUAACCGAGCGCCGGUCAUCCGGGCCCGGGACCAUGGCGUGGUGGGUCAGUUUGACUGGGCGGUCGCCUCCUAAAGUGGUAACGGAGGCGCGCGAUGGUGGGCUCAGACCGGUCGGAAAUCGGUCUGUCGAGUGCAAUGGCAUAAGCCCGCCUGACUGCGAGGACUGACAAGUCGAGCAGAGACGAAAGUCGGCCAUAGUGAUCCGGUGGUCCCGCGUGGAAGGGCCAUCGCUCAACGGAUAAAAGGUA